CCUACGGGAGGCAGCAGUGGGGAAUAUUGGACAAUGGGGGAAACCCUGAUCCAGCCAUGCCGCGUGAGUGAAGAAGGCCUUAGGGUUGUAAAGCUCUUUCAGCGGGGAAGAUAAUGACGGUACCCGCAGAAGAAGCCCCGGCUAACUCCGUGCCAGCAGCCGCGGUAAU
rnacentral:rRNA from 1 species